GCGACGUUGAGGCACACACUAGGUACGCAGAGUGGCUGGUGGAAUUAUCAUGUGUCAGUGACUAAUUACGAGCCAAGUGCCCUCUGGCUUGUGAGACUGUGACUUGUUAAAGACGACAGGCAGAGCGAGACUGGUGGUGAGUACUGGUUUGUCACUGUCAUCUCGUCUGGAAACUCGCCAUAAAAGCUUCAUCACUCUGAGCACAAGUACGAGACUUUGAUCCUCGGAGUGGAAAGCUGCCGCUGGAUCGCAUUGUGUGAACCGGGACGAGGUGAUGCAGCAUUCUGAGGCGCCGAGCUCCAGCCUAUACCAGCUUGUGCGUGGGUGGGAAGGAAGGAGCGAGGCAGAGGAAGAGAUAUACGUACGUAGUUCACGCAAUGUAUAUCGCAAUGCGGCGUGAUGUGAACUGAAGA